AUUGAACGCUGGCGGCAUGCCUUACACAUGCAAGUCGAACGGUAACGCGGGGCAACCUGGCGACGAGUGGCGGACGGGUGAGUAAUGCAUCGGAACGUGCCUGGUAGUGGGGGAUAACUGCUCGAAAGAGCAGCUAAUACCGCAUACGACCAGAGGGUGAAAGGGGGGGAUCGCAAGACCUCUCGCUAUAAGAGCGGCCGAUGUCGGAUUAGCUAGUUGGUGGGGUAAAGGCCCACCAAGGCAACGAUCCGGAGCUGGUCUGAGAGGACGACCAGCCACACUGGGACUGAGACACGGCCCAGACUCCUACGGGAGGCAGCAGUGGGGAAUUUUGGACAAUGGACGCAAGUCUGAUCCAGCCAUGCCGCGUGCGGGAAGAAGGCCUUCGGGUUGUAAACCGCUUUUGUCAGGGAAGAAAUCUUCUGGGUUAAUACCUCGGGAGGAUGACGGUACCUGAAGAAUAAGCACCGGCUAACUACGUGCCAGCAGCCGCCGUAACAC
rnacentral:rRNA from 1 species